GCUGUACCUGAAGCUCUGGCUGCUGCUGUGUCGCAGAGUGGGGGUGCAGAGCGGCGAGGGGCUAGGUAUCCUUCCUGUGCCUGCUCACUGGGCCACCAGGGAGAAAGGAUAGGCCCACAGC